rnacentral:telomerase_RNA from 1 species
GUUCGGGGACGGUCCGGUACCAGUUGGGUCCCACACUGGGUACACAGGUUGUACCUGAAAACCCUAAACCAGUCGUAUACGUGUCCUGCAUUUGGGGGCACUUCCGUACUUACCGGGUUUUCCGUCCCAGCCCUUUCCCCGUUCCAAAAUAAAACAAGGGCUGAUGCACGUGGACCCACUGUUGCUAGGCCGGAAUAUACCCUCACCGUGGAGGGGGCCGUGUCUACGGUGUUCCAUCUCGGUGUGUCCGAGCUCUGGGUCUUCCGGACACGGCUGCACCCCAAUUAGGAACCCACUUUU